rnacentral:rRNA from 1 species
CCUACGGGAGGCAGCAGUGGGGAAUAUUGGACAAUGGGCGCAAGCCUGAUCCAGCAAUGCCGCGUGAGUGAUGAAGGCCUUAGGGUCGUAAAGCUCUUUUACCAGGGAUGAUAAUGACAGUACCUGGAGAAUAAGCUCCGGCUAACUCCGUGCCAGCAGCCGCGGUAAUACGGAGGGAGCUAGCGUUGUUCGGAAUUACUGGGCGUAAAGCGUACGUAGGCGGUUAUUCAAGUCAGAGGUGAAAGCCCGGGGCUCAACCCCGGAACGGCCUUUGAAACUAGGUAGCUAGAAUCUUGGAGAGGUCAGUGGAAUUCCGAGUGUAGAGGUGAAAUUCGUAGAUAUUCGGAAGAACACCAGUGGCGAAGGCGACUGACUGGACAAGUAUUGACGCUGAGGUACGAAAGCGUGGGGAGCAAACAGGAUUAGAUACCCUGGUAGUCCACGCCGUAAACGAUGAUAACUAGCUGUUCGGGCACUUGGUGCUUGAGUGGCGCAGCUAACGCAUUAAGUUAUCCGCCUGGGGGAGUACGGUCGCAAGAUUAAAACUCAAAGGAAUUGACGG